CCCUCCGGCUGCCUGACUGGAUUAUGGUGCUCUGUAAUUCCAUUAGGGCAGUACUACAGUCAACACAGUCGCCUCCUUCAGGGUCCUCAUAAUCAGAACAGAUGGCUUCGUUCUAGGAGGCCCCACACUUUGAGCCCACGCUGUUUGCGAUAUGAAUCUGUCAGAAUCAUCGCUGUGUGACACAUGGCCAGCGGAGUGUGCCAUGGAUCCGAAGGGUUGAACUGACGUGUAUGAAACACUUAACUGGUCACAUUAACCACCAGAUCCAGUACGUAUCCAGAUCAGAUGGUCACUGCAGUCCCCCGGAUCCAGUCCGAACCCAGCCCAGACGGUGGAUCAGCACCUAGAGACGACCUCUACAGCCCUGAAUGUCAGCGGAGUCCACAUCAACUAGAUGAGCCCCAGAGACGGAUCCACAUUAAAGACCACAUCACCUAGACGGCUGUCGGCACAAGACCACGGGAACUUUGGCCAGAGGAGAACUGGCCCCGACUGAGCCUGGUUUCUCCCAAGGUUUUUUUCUCCAUUUGUCACCGAUGGAGUUUUGGUUCCUUGCCGCUGUCGCCUCUGGCUUGCUUAGUUGGGGACACUUUCUCUUAACACAAUAUUGCAUUUUAUUUUAUUGUUUUUGAUUAACUACCUUUACCUAUAAUGUGAGUGUUUAAUGUUGCCUUUGGCAUUGUUGAUGUACUGUUUCCUAUUUAAUACUGUACAGCCGCCUUGUCACAAUUCUGUAUUGUUAAAGGCGGUAUAUAAAUAAAGGUGACUUGACUUGA